AGCAGUCCCGCGGGAAUACGUAGGGUGCAAGCGUUAAUCGGAAUUACUGGGCGUAAAGCGUGCGCAGGCGGUUAUAUAAGACAGAUGUGAAAUCCCCGGGCUCAACCUGGGAACUGCAUUUGUGACUGUAUAGCUAGAGUACGGCAGAGGGGGAUGGAAUUCCGCGUGUAGCAGUGAAAUGCGUAGAUAUGCGGAGGAACACCGAUGGCGAAGGCAAUCCCCUGGGCCUGUACUGACGCUCAUGCACGAAAGCGUGGGGAGCAAACAGGAUUAGAUACCCCCGUAGUCCCUGUCUCUUAUACC
rnacentral:rRNA from 1 species